AUGGUGUGAUGAUGGUGAUGGUGAGGUGAGGUUACUGUGUGAUGAUGGUGUGGUGAUGGUGAUGUUGUGGUGAUGGUGUGAUGAUGGUGUGGUGAUGGUGUGAUGAUGGUGUGGUGAUGGUGUGAUGAUGGUGAUGGUGAGGUGAGGUUACUGUGUGAUGAUGGUGUGGUGAUGAGGUGAUGGUGUGAUGAUGGUGUGGUGAUGGUAUGGUGAUGGUGUGAUGAUGUUGUGGUGAUGGUGUGAUGAUGUUGUGGUGAUGGUGUGGUGAUGGUGAUGGUGAGGUUUCUGUGUGGUGAUGGUGUGGUGAUGGUGUGAUGAUGGUGUGGUGAUGGUGUGAUGAUGGUGUGGUGAUGGUGUGAUGAUGGUGAUGGUGAGGUGAGGUUACUGUGUGAUGAUGGUGUGGUGAUGAGGUGAUGGUGUGAUGAUGGUGUGGUGAUGGUGUGGUGAUGGUGUGAUGAUGUUGUGGUGAUGGUAUGGUGAUGGUGUGAUGAUGGUAUGGUGAUGGUGAGGUGAUGGUGUGGUGAUGGUGUGGUGAUCGUGAGGUUACUGUGUGGUGAUGGUGUGGUGAUGGUGUGGUGAUGGUGAGGUUACUGUGUGGUGAUGUUGUGAUGAUAGUGUGGUGAUGGUGUGGUGAUGGUGUGAUGAUAGUGUGGUGAUGGUUUGAUGGUGUGGUGAUGGUGAU